AUUUCCGGCCAGGGUUGCUAGAGGCGAUGGUUGGGUGGGCCGGCGGGCAGUAGGCGGAGGAGGCCAGGGUGUUGGUGGAAUUACACAUGCGCUCUCGGCUUCUGGCAAAUCUUUUUACGGGUUGCAUUCUUUUUGAGGUUACGGGAAGGAAGGGCGACUGUACGCAUGCGUGGGCCUUCCCAGCUUCGGCUUUGGUUACCUUGGAGAUGGCGAGGUGCUCUCUUUCUCCAAGAGUUUCCAGAAUGAAAGAUGUGUUGGGACUCCUCUAGGACUCUUCGAGACUGGCUUGAGAAAUAAGGAGCCUCCUGUCUGGAAAGGUUUGAGCCAGGGCCAGGCCACUGUCUGCAUGUGACCACUUUGCAGACCUACUUCUUUCUGGAGAUGUGUCCAAGCAGACAUCUAUUGUUGGACACCAGGAAAGGCCAUUCAUUUGACAGUGUGGAAAUCCCACAAUCUGGCCUGCAUCCAGGAGGCUGAGGCAGGAGGAUGACAGGUUUGAGACCAGCCUGGGCUCUGCAGCCAGACUUCUGUAUGAAAACAAAACAGCCUACAACCCAAGAGGCUCACUCCCCCCCACACACUCCACCCCAACCCCCACCCCCACCCCGGGGCCAGAAAAUGUUAGAGCAAAGUCUGCAGUUGCCCUAGCCCUAGCCCAUGUUGUCCUUAUUCUCAACCAUGGCAAGUGUUGCCCCUCGAAGCAUUUCCGGCUGUGACUUCCAUGAAGCCUAUACUUCAGAGUCAAGACAGUCUCUGGGACCUAUCUUGGCCCUGCCAGUGACCAGCUGAGAGAUGGUAAGGCAAGAAAAAAGCUGGACUGGAGACUUCUGAAAGCUCCUGCCGUCUCCAGGGUUGGGCAUUUCAGUGACUCAGAGAGAGCAAAGCCGGGCCAGAUGUACAGGCACUUACAGAGCAGGAGGCCAGCUUGGCUGCAAGUCAGGUUGGAUGUGAUGGAGCUGGACGAGGGCAGUGGCAGAAGAUGAAGAUCUGGGACAGAUUAGCCACACGGAGAGAUUCAGUAGAGAAGCUAUGGAGAGCAUUCAGAAUUGCCGCUCCUGUUUGCUGGGAAAGGAACCUCCCCUGGGAAAGCUUUGGAAAGGGAUGGAUGACUUAUAAGCUGAAGCACAUACCAGGGAUGCCAGUCAAAGAUUGCGUGACUCUGCUAAGGGCCGAUUGGGACGAGAUAUGUUUUACUCAGAGUAAACAGUAAAAGCCGAGAGUCUCUCUCACAGAGAGUAAAGUGAAGUGACAAAGAAGACUCAGAGCAGCCAAGCUGAAGAGAAGAUUCUGAGACGAGACCAGCAGCAUGAAAGAAACAGAAACCAGCUGAGCUGCCUGGAAUGGUUUAGACUAACCGAGUCACCUGGAAGGGAACUCUCCAACCUGCUCAUCUGCCUGCAGGCUGUGCAGUGUGCUCCAGGUUCCCAGCUUUGUGAGCUGUCACCCAUACUGGGGUGGACCUUGGUGGUGCAAUUGUCUUCCUUUCUGCUCCUGUAAGUGACCCCUCACCCAUAUUCCUGUGAGUGACCCCUCACCCAUAUUCCUGUGAGUGACCCCUCACCCAUAUUCCUGUAAGUAACUCCAAUAAAACUCAUUGGUUCACCCAGUUGGACUUCGGUGGUGUCCGUACUUCGGUCUGUCCUGGGUUCCCUGUCUGGGGUGAGUAGAUGUGUGUGUUGCUU